UUUCUCGCUUUGGCCACCCGUCCCCUAUCCCCUUCCGCGCGAGACCCCUAUAAUAAGAAAAAUCAGCCACUCCACUCCGCACCUGCACUCGGCGCUCGCGUCGCUCCUCCGGUCCUCUCCCGCCGAUCGACAACGUCCCGAGCCGCCGUUCCUCCGAGGAAAUGGCUGCACUUCAACCCUCAUUUUCGUCAACAAUGGCUCUGAAGAGUAGCUGCAGUGGGCUGAAGUUCCCAAAAACUGCACUUCUACCUUGUUUUGGUGGCAUUUCACGUCAAGACAUUCAAGACAGGAAUGCUAGCCUCACUUAUUUAAUCCCCAAGGUUGCUUCAGUGACUGACCAAUCAACAUCAGAGCCAUCAAAACCCAGGCAAAGCAAGCACACAGUCGACCCUACUGCUCCAGAAUUUCUGCCACUCCCAUCAUUUGAAGAAUGCUUUCCAAGGAGUACCAAAGAAUCAAGUGAAAUCGUUCACGAGGAAUCUGGUCAUGUCCUCAAGGUUCCAUUCCGGAGAGUCCAUUUGACUGGAGAUCAGAAGCACUUUGAUACAUAUGACACCAGUGGUCCUCAAAAUAUAAGCCCAAGGAUUGGACUCCCAAAGAUAAGGAAGGAAUGGAUUGAUAGGAGGGAGAAGAUGGGUAGUCCUCGUUACACACAAAUGUAUUAUGCUAAACAUGGAAUCAUAACAGAGGAGAUGUUAUACUGUGCCAAGCGCGAGAACCUUAGUCCUGAAUUUGUUCGGACAGAAGUUGCCCGUGGACGGGCCAUAAUUCCUUCCAACAAGAGGCACCUGGAAUUGGAACCCAUGAUUGUUGGUAGAAACUUUCUUGUGAAGGUGAAUGCAAAUAUUGGGAACUCAGCUGUUCUGAGCUCCAUCGAGGAUGAAGUUCACAAGCUCCAGUGGGCCACAAUGUGGGGAGCUGAUACUGUCAUGGAUCUCUCAACAGGGAGACAUAUCCAUGAGACCCGGGAAUGGAUUAUUCGUAACUCUCCGGUUCCUAUUGGGACCGUUCCUAUUUACCAAGCACUUGAGAAAGUAAAUGGUAUUGCUGAAAAUCUGAGCUGGGAAAUCUUUAGGGAUACCUUGAUUGAACAAGCUGAGCAGGGUGUUGAUUACUUCACAAUCCAUGCUGGUGUCCUGCUUCGUUACAUUCCUCUUACAGCAAAGAGAAUGACUGGCAUAGUUUCACGUGGUGGCUCAAUUCAUGCAAAAUGGUGCUUAACUUAUCACAAGGAGAACUUUGCUUAUGAACACUGGGAUGAAAUUCUUGACAUAUGCAAUCAAUAUGAUGUGGCAUUAUCAAUUGGUGAUGGUUUGAGGCCCGGUUCUAUUUAUGACGCAAAUGAUAGUGCUCAGUUUGCAGAACUGCUGACUCAAGGUGAACUAACACGUCGAGCAUGGGCGAAAGAUGUGCAGGUGAUGAAUGAAGGUCCAGGGCACAUCCCAAUGCAUAAAAUUCCUGAAAACAUGGAAAAACAGCUGGAGUGGUGUAAUGAAGCACCUUUCUAUACGUUGGGUCCACUGACAACUGAUAUCGCACCUGGUUAUGACCACAUCACCUCAGCCAUUGGUGCGGCCAACAUUGGAGCUCUUGGCACUGCACUUCUUUGUUAUGUUACACCAAAGGAGCACCUUGGGUUGCCUAAUCGUGAUGAUGUUAAGACAGGUGUGAUAUCCUACAAAAUUGCUGCUCAUGCUGCUGAUUUGGCAAAGGGUCAUCCCUACGCACAAGCUUGGGAUGAUGCCCUUAGCAAGGCAAGGUUUGAGUUUAGAUGGCUCGACCAAUUUGCUCUAUCUCUGGAUCCAGUAACCGCCAUGGCUUUCCAUGAUGAAACAUUGCCAUCUGAGGGUGCCAAAGUAGCUCAUUUCUGCUCAAUGUGUGGGCCCAAGUUUUGUUCGAUGAAAAUCACAGAGGAUAUUAGAAAAUAUGCAGAUGAACAUGGUUACGGAACAGUAGAGGAAGCUGUGAAGGAAGGAAUGAAUGCUAUGAGUGCUGAAUUUUUGGCUGCAAGGAAAACAAUCAGUGGGGAACAGCAUGGUGAAGCUGGAGGGGAGAUCUACGUACCAGAAAGCUAUGCAGCUCAAAAAUAAGAUCUCCUCGGAGCCUUCCAAGUGAAGCAGAUUUGCUGGCUGGAGCCUUCGUCAGCAGCAAUUGUACCAUCUUAUGUUAGGAGAUGGGGUGCCUGCAUUCUCAACAAUGUGAAGGCUUCUUGGCCUUGACUGUUGUGAGAUGGGCUGAGAAAGUCCCUUUGAACCUGAACAGGAUAAUGCCUGCGAAGGGAGUGUGCAUUUCUUUUUUCUUGUUUUUCAGGAACCUGUCAGCCUUCUGGUGGAAAUUGAGGUACCAACUGUCCGUGCACAUAAAGAGCUCAGUAGAUGGGUCCGCCUGUGUCUUACAUCUGAGGUAACAUGGUUCCAUUCCAUGAUCCUUUUGCAUGAUUUCAUCAACCAGCUGUGUUACCGUUCCCAUAGAGAGUAAAGUGUGCCUCAUCAUGACACUCAACCCAUCAAUACACCCAUGAAAUUUUGUGAAGAAUUUGCUAUCCCUACAUAAUCUAUUUCGACAUCUGUCUAACUACAUUUAUUUACAUUAGGCGUAUAGAGCAAGAUAUUUAGAACUGCUACAGAUUGUUUUUUUAGCUGCAUUCUGCCCCUUGAGGGUGGAAGUACCAACCAGAAUUGCAAUUAACUUGAUCCUACCAUCGUAUUGUAGCCGUCUACUGAGAUAGGAGUUAUUUCUGUAAACAAACUUCUGCCCUUCUCAUCAGGAUGGUCAGAUAGUGUUAUCCAAAAUUUCACAAAAUCUUUUUAACAAAGAAUAUUGUAAAUAUCUCAUGUGAACAGUUUCAAAUUCCGCAUUAUGCAUGAUUGUUUACAACUGUAUGUGAAAGCAGAGGCAGGAUCUUAAAACAUCAAUAAAUUCAAAAUAGAAAUAGAUUGCAAGUCAUUGCAUUGGUGGAGAAUAAUUUUAUCAGUUUUACUUUCUAUGGAGUGCAUGUUUCUCAUGUAUCACUGCCUGCUUCACUUUUUACACUGAAUUAGUGAAUUAUACCUACGUUCAUAUAAUCCAACUGCCCUGGCUGCCGUGAGAUGCCAAGAAAAAUGUUUUGGGAAAGUAAACAUUUCUUUUGUGGCUGGAAAUUUGUGCUCGUUGUGGUACCACCAUACCAAUGAAACUAUGCUCAUUUACAAAUUGAAGAUGAACUCUGAUUGUGCUUCUACAAUGGAGUUUCAAAUCAUUCAGAGAUGAGCUGGGCAAAGGCACCCUGUUACUGUACUGUGAUAUUGGUGCUCAAGUUCUCAUGCCAUCCCUUAUAAGGGCUUCCCUAGCAAAUUUGAGAUGUUAACUGUUAUUAUAAACUUACAUUCUGAUUUAUGUGGAACUCUGUCUGACAUCUGAAUGUUCCCCCGAGUAUAAGUUUCGUUACGGAACAAGGAUACAUGCUGCUUUUCUGGUCGCUAUAUAUGCCUUCGGUACCGUUUUGUGUGCUAGUCCCUGAAGUCAACAAGAUUGACGUCCCGUUGUUGACUGGAGGUAGUAAUAUUUUGCUUUAUUGUUUCCGAAUACGAAAUAAAAGGAAAGGUAAAUAGGAACAGCUUUGUGAACUCUUGCUCGACAUAAAUGGAGGCUUCUUGCAAAAGUAUUUGGCGUUUCCAAGCUUCUAUAAUUUCAGGGUAUCACUUCUGAUCAGGGACUGUAUCGCUUGUGCGCAUUAGCCAACUGUUAAGAAAUUACAUAUUUUUCCUUC